rnacentral:lncRNA from 1 species
UCAGAUUCACUACAAUUCUACAAUUAUGUUUGAAGAACAUCUAGAACUCAUCCCUCCAUCUGCUCAAAAGCAAGCAUGGUCAACUUCAGAUGCCUGGCUUCCCCUCUUUAAUGAUGGUCAUCACAAUACCAUUGAGCAAGGCAGAUAGCAAUCAUUCAGUGCAGCCCUUCUCAUAACCAUGAUCUCUCGAGUUCACCGACAACACCACUACAGUAGACCCACUGAUAUAUCAAAACUGUUUCCAGAACUAAACUCCUAAAAAAGCUG